UCCGUUAUGGUCUAGGGGUUAGGAUUGCCCGCUUUCAUGUAGAGCCGGGUCGGCCCGGGUUCGAUUCCCGGUAACGGAA